rnacentral:rRNA from 1 species
CCUACGGGAGGCUGCAGUGGGGAAUAUUGGACAAUGGGGGGAACCCUGAUCCAGCCAUGCCGCAUGUGUGAAGAAGGCCCUCGGGUUGUAAAGCACUUUCAGUGAGGAAGAACGCCUGGUGGUUAAUACCCAUCAGGAAAGACAUCACUCACAGAAGAAGCACCGGCUAACUCCGUGCCAGCAGCCGCGGUAAUACGGAGGGUGCGAGCGUUAAUCGGAAUUACUGGGCGUAAAGCGCGCGUAGGUGGCUUGAUAAGCCGGUUGUGAAAGCCCCGGGCUCAACCUGGGAACGGCAUCCGGAACUGUCAAGCUAGAGUGCAGGAGAGGAAGGUAGAAUUCCCGGUGUAGCGGUGAAAUGCGUAGAGAUCGGGAGGAAUACCAGUGGCGAAGGCGGCCUUCUGGACUGACACUGACACUGAGGUGCGAAAGCGUGGGUAGCAAACAGGAUUAGAUACCCUGGUAGUC